UUUUAUUUGUAUUUUGUAAAGAGCAUAUCACAUAAGAAAUGGUUAAUUUAAAAUUUUUGCAGCCUAAUAGAUAAUUAAAAUGUGUCUAAAUAUACCUCACCUAGGCUACUACCUGUAUGAGAAGAUAAAACAUAAGGCAAUUAAGAUUGCUAGUGACUCUAGUUUGGGGUUUUCUUAAUAAUGGAUUUAUGUUUUGUUUGGAUGUCCAUCAUUCAAACAAUACUACAUGCACCACUUUUUUAGGACCUGAAUGAUAAAAAACAAAACAUGAAUGAGGCCCUUGGAGAUGUUCAGUCCCUCUUAAUGUUUCUGCAAGUAUUGUUCCUGUGAGGUGUAGUCGGGUGUAGUCAGUUUAAAUGUUUUUAAAUCUUCAGCCUAAUUUUAGAGUUAGUGAAAUGUAUUUUGGACUUUUGGUGGUGCUGACUUGUUGUUCUCGUUCUUGUUCUCCCAGGAUUUAUACGUACGUAAAAACGGCUCCCUUGAACCGCUUUUGAUUCCGAUGGGUAAAGUUGUCAAAGGUCAGUGUCAUUGGAAGCGAUGACAUCCUUAGAGGAUUUGAGCGCGCCCUUAGUCAAGUUACCGAGUCUGCUGGAGUUGCUCAACUCUCCGUCCCUAGCGAAGGUUUCUGGAGGAAUUACAGCAGACUCGUAAGUAGCAGACUCGAGAGUUUAUAGCGCCGUCAAGAAGCUGUGUUGUGUGUGUUGAUCGUCUCCACCAUGCACGCGAUAAUCAAGACCAGGAACGCCUUGAUCAAGAAGAAGAAAAGAACGGAGAAGCAAAGAACGACGAUGUAAAUAGCGGGUUUUCCACACUGGCUGUAUGACGUCGAGCAUUGCCAAAAUGGAAGUGCUCUUUGAAGAACUGAGCGUCUAAAUCUUCUUCAGUCAGAUGAAGCUAACGGAUUCGGAGAUCGCCGAAGAAGCAGAGGGCAUCACAGCUGAAAAAAAAAACGUGAGUCAAACUCCUGUGAGAAAUAGAUGUCAACUGGUGGAAAUAAAUAAGAAGGUGAUAUGGAAUUUUUCUUUUCUUUUUAAAAAUACGGUCCGAUUUAAAAGAUUUAGUGAGAAACAUCCAAUCUGUCGAUCGCGGUCGCUAACCAAUUGGAAGAAAACAGCACCAACAAUGGUCGAACUCGGAUGUGCUUUAUUCGAGAUUUUAACACAAAUUUCAUUUUAUACAUAACAAAAUUUAUCAUAAAGCUACAAUGUUAAAGCAUUACCCGUACUAUGGCUCGUCCCGGUUUGUAUUGCUUUGUAUAAUCUUUAGUUGAACGCUUAAUAUAUUAGAGGCUAGCUAAGAGAAUUUGGCUAGAUCUUUACAAUAUUAUUUAAGAAUGUGAUUUUUUUAAGAAUUCCUGUCUGUUGCACAUCGAUAAUAUAUUGGUCUUGAUUCUUAAAGGUGGCUUGGCUAAAAUUUCAACGGCCACUUUUGAUGUUUUCGUGGGCACUGAUUUGCAGAGUGCUCGUGACCAACAGAUAAAAUGGCCCAAUCCAUAUCAUUGCCAAUUUGCAAGCUGUCUUCCAAAACUAUCCAAAACCAAGGAAUUUCUAUUUG
rnacentral:lncRNA from 1 species